AGAACGAACGCUGGCGGCAUGCCUAACACAUGCAAGUCGAACGCUCACCGGGCUUCGGUUCGGUGGGAGUGGCGCACGGGUGAGUAGCGCGUGGGAACCUGCCCUGUUGUGGGGGAUAACCGAGGGAAACUUCGGCUAAUACCGCAUGCGCCCGGGGAAACCCGGGGAAAGAUUUAUCGCAGCAGGAGGGGCCCGCGUCGGAUUAGGUAGUUGGUAGGGUAACGGCCUACCAAGCCUUUGAUCCGUAGCUGGUCUGAGAGGAUGAUCAGCCACACUGGGACUGAGACACGGCCCAGACUCCUACGGGAGGCAGCAGUGGGGAAUAUUGGACAAUGGGCGCAAGCCUGAUCCAGCAAUGCCGCGUGAGUGAUGAAGGCCUUAGGGUUGUAAAGCUCGUUUCGGCGGGGACGAUGAUGACGGUACCCGCAGAAGAACGCCCCGGCUAACUUCGUGCCAGCAGCCGC
rnacentral:rRNA from 1 species